ensembl:lncRNA
AAUCCUGUGAGCCCUGUGGCAUAGCAUUUAAGUGACUAUUUUGGUUUGACUAGCAUAGUUCGAGCUGAACCAGUUCUCACCGUAAUAUCCGACGUGCUAUCAUAACCAAGGCACAUGGUGAGAUGGAAAGACACUGCAUCCGAAGUCAAGGGACCAAGGUUUCAGAUUCUCAAUACCACCGUUGCAUGAUGGCCAACGGACAUAUCACUCUGCACUUUGCUUCUUGAUUUCUUCAUUGAGGAACAGUAAAAUGGUUGAGUCUGUUCCCGGCUGUCAGACUGCCAAAGGUAUCAGUAGUUUGAUUUCCUCUUCUUGAAAAUGACAUUAGUACUUAAUGCUACAGUGUUUACUUUGUGCCUGGCCAUUUACUAAGUGCUUUACACAUAUAUUUACUCUUUUAAGACUCAUAACAACCCUACCAGUAAUGUGUUAGUACAUUUUGCAUUACUAUAGAUACCGAAGACUGGGUAAUUUAUAAAGAAAAUAUGUUUAUAUGUUUAUUUGGCUCAUGGUUCUGCAGGCUGUAGAAGCAUAGCACCAGCAUCUGCUCGACUUCUUACGAGGCCUCAGGAAGCUUAUAAUCAUGGCAGAAAGUGAAGGGGAAGCAGGUAUGUCACAUGGCAAGAGAGAUGCCAGGCUCUUUUAAACAACUAACUCUCAUGUGAACUAACAGAGUGAGAAAUUACUCAUUACUUCAAGGAUAGCACCAAGCCAUUUACAAGGAAUCUGCCUCCAUGAUCAAAACACCUCCCACAAGCUCCACCUCCAACACUGGGGAUCACAUUUCAAUGUGAGACUGGGAAGGGGCUCACAUCCAAACCAUAUCAGGUAAAUGUUGUUAUUCUCAUUUUGCAGGUGAUGAAAAUGAAACACAGAAAAAUAAAGAAACUUGUCCAAGCUUGUACAGUUGGGCCAGAGGAUCUACCACCACAGAACCAUUCUAGAUGUCAAUUCCUGGUAAGAAAUGAUUGGGAGUUAACAGAAGAACCACAGAGAGGUAGAGUUUGCUAUGUUUAUAUUUGCAUUGAAGUUAUUUUAAAAUAUUAGUUUAUCCUCCUGCACAUACUAUUUUUAUUUUAUAGCAUACAUGGAAUCUAUAUGUUUGAUUCUAUAGCGUAAAUUCCUUUCUUCUCAAUCAGCCUUUUUGGCCGCUUUGUUAAAGAUCACAGUGUAGCCACAUGAAGGAAAACCACUCGAAUCUGGGUUAGUCCUAUCCAUGGUGACAGUUAUUACCUGACUGCCAGUGCUGGGAUUGGAUAGAUCAGGUAUAUAUAGCAGCCUGUCUUACAGAAUGGUGUCUGAACAGGACCAUUUCUGGUUCAAUGUAGCCUUCCUUGGUUUUAACCUGUAUCACAUGGGCUUGUCUAAAAGGAACAAUAUCCCUUAAUACUGAAAAUUUUCUAACACAGCAAUUGUCAAAUUAUCAUCGACAUACCCCUGGGGGUCCUGAUUAUCUUUAAAGGGUGUCUGCAAAGUCAGCAUGAUUUACCUAGUAAUCCUGACACGAAUUUGAGCUUUCAAAUGAAAUUAAAGUUUCAGAAAACUUUUAUCCACUACCUGAGAUUGAUAGCUUCUUAAUACUUAGAGAUUUUAUUAUGAAAUUGGGAAUGUUAACUAAUGCAAUUUAAAAAAUAUCAUAUGAUAAAAUGUGUCGAUAUUUGGAACAUCUGUAUAACUCAGUGAAUCAAUAUUGUCCAAAUAGCAAUGCAUGGGGUUACAAAAUUAUGCAUGGAUAAAAGCUCUAUUCAAAGUUCAAGACAGACCAAUGGAUUUUAAGUUAAGAGAGCACAAAAAGUUUAUUGGUCUAGUUUCAUAGUCCACAUCUUUUAAAAAAACAACUUGUUGAAUCUUGGUGUAUCACAGAAGAGUAUCCACAACUACGUUCCUUCCUUUUUCAAACAUAUCUAUGUGUAGCUCCCUUUUCUUCAUGUACUUCAACCAAAAUAUCAUUUUGCAGCAGGUUGAAUGCUGAAAAAUAUAGCAGGAUCCAGCGUUCUUCUGUUAAGCCAGACACUGAAGAGAUUUGCAGAAAUAUAAAACAAUGCAAUUCUUCUCAUUAACAUUUUUUGGAAAUGUAAUUAUUUUUUAUAAAAGUAUGUUAUUUAUGUCAAUAUACAAUGGGUUUAUUAUUGUAAUUUUAGAAUUAAUUAAUAAAUAGAUAUUUAUUUUUUUCCAUUUUAAAUACAGAAAGUUUCAAUAGAUAUAGCCCGCAUAAACAAAACCCUUUGGGGUCCUCAAUAAUGUUGAGUAUGACUAGUAUAUAAGUCCAAAAACUUUAAGAACUGCUAUCCUAAUAAAUUGUUCUUGGAUAAUUUUGCGUAUGAAUAUCAUGAGGCUCUCCCAAGCAAGGUAAUGUAUUCAGCAAUAGAUUAGGAUGACCUCCGGCUUUGAAUAUAAAAUUGGGUGUUAUGGUCAAUAACAGUCACACAAGUAAUUAAUUAAGAGAAGUCAGAAAGAAAAACACAGCUUUCAAAAGCCCCUUGCGUAUUUUGCUCCUGUGUGCCCCACUGUUGGAUGCGGUUACUGAGGUGUGCUGGUGAGUGCAGCUCUUGGUCUCCUAGGGGAGCUAUUUGCUUUGCUUUGUCACACACAUGCUCUUUUGAUCUCAGAUACUAGUGUCUGUCUGGCUUCCUUGUGGUUAAUACAUCUGACAUAUGGCUUGUUUCUUUGCCUACCUUUUAUUAUGUUAUUUCACCGGGCUACUUUGAAAUCAAUAUAAGCAAUAAUCGGCGGACUACAAUUUGGUUUUAAGUGCAUUUUCUUAUCAAGAUACAUAGAGUUAUAUGGCAUUCUUAUGAUCCAGUGCUUCAACUGAUGGCAUAUAACGUAGUAUUAAAUAAAACUAUACAGCCUGGCAUAGUUAAGUGUAUUAUUACCUUGCAUCAAACAUAAAAACAGAAGAGGGAAAAAGGUAUAUAAGGCAUUCAUAGAUAACUAAGCAGCUGAAUGAAAAUACGGAAAGAUAUUUCCCUGUUGCUUUUCUAAUGUCGCUACUUCACUUUCUCUAAGCUUUGGAUUUCUCUCCACAUUUCCUUUUUCCCUAGGACUCUGGAUUCUCAGCUAGUGUUUGAUACCAUCUAAGGGUUCCAUCAGUUUAGUGCUCACACAGCACUUAUUAGCUAUGAGACCUUGACCAGGUAAAUUCAGCUGUUUGUGCUACUACUGUGUUUCCCUCUCUGUAAAGUGGAGAUAAUAGUAAGUGUAUCUACAUGACUGAAUGAAGAAUAUGUGAAACCAUCCAUGUGUCCCGGGCUCAGCAUCCUGCCUACCACCCCCAGUGGAUCCUCCCUGGGUAUCAGCUAUUAUUAUUCUCUACUUUUACUCAUUGGCACUUUCAUCUGAUUUGCAAAAGAACUAUAUUAGUUAAUUCAACAGACACAUAUUUAAUAACUGUUGCAUACCAGGCAUUGUGCUAGGAUGAGGGACACAAUGAUGAAUAAAAACAGUGCUCAUGAAAGCAGAGGGCAUAUUUAUGUAGCAUUUAUGCUAUUUCUGGUCUUUAUCACACUGUCUGGCACAGAAUACGUGUCUCAUAAAUAUGUGCCAAAUAAGCAAAUAACCAACCUUAUA